UGCUAUGCGCAAAAAUUGUGAUUAAUUCAGUUUCACUUUUGCUAUCAUCGUGGGUUAUUAUACAUAUACCUAUAGUGCGCGAGACAUAUUGCCUAAAGUAUGUAUCCAACGAGAAGGAAGCAUAUGCGUAAACCGGCACUACCACCAGAUAUUAACCAGAGUUUCCCACGAUUCUGCGCGAUUAGUUCAUCAAUGGAUUUGCCAUACGACUCUCCAUUUACCAUGUAAACGUGUUGGGACCAUGUUUGUUACCGACUGAUCAUCUCAAGGAAUGACAAGCGGUAUGCAAGAUGUCAUUCAUUUUCAUGAACAGCUGGUAAUUACACAUAAAUUUUGCUUUUUAUUGUUUCUUUUCAGGAAACAGGAUGCAAUGUCAUGCAUAAUUUGCUUUAAUAUCUCCUUGUAUUUUUUGUUUUAAAUAUUUAUCUUAAUUACAGUAAGAAAAUAAACACUUCAGUAAGCACAGAAACA